rnacentral:lncRNA from 10 species
UGGGAUUACAGAUGUGAGCCACCGUGCCCAGCCAUAACCCGAACUACUUUCAAAAUGAACAUAUCAAACUUGAUUUUUAUUAGAAUGCAGCUAUUUCUUCACAUUAGUAAAGCAAAAAGCAAGAGCCCGGUUUUAUAUACACUUCAUGUUUUGUUCUUUUGCUAACACCAAGUCUGCUUUAUCUGAAUUUUCCAUUUCAUGAGUAUCAUCAAUUCUCCACUGCUGUCUGCAUAGCCAAUUAUUUUUUUCAGGAUCAAGGUCUCUUGGUUUGUCUGCAGUAUCUCUUUCCUUGAUUUUAUGUUAUCCAACUGUCAGGUAAAUAUUUUCUUCUUGUAUCAUCUUUUUCUUUAACAGCUUUUUUGAGAAUUAAAUGUUCCAAGUAACUCUUGACAAGCUUAAGUUUCUUCAGGUUCCCAAGUACUUUCAGCAUCUAUAAAUCCCUUCCACAUCAGGAAAUGCACUACCUUACCAUUCAUCACACAUUGAUCCAGUACUUUUUCCACUACAAAUUCUUCAGGCUCUGCAUCAAUUUUUUUUUUGGAGAUGGAGUUUCGCUCUUGUUGCCCAGGCUGGAAUGUAGUGGCGCGAUCUUGGCUAACCACAACCUCCGACUCCCAGGUUCAAGCAAAUCUCCUGCCUCAGCCUCCUGAGUAGCUGGGAUUAUAGGCAUGCACCACCACACUCAGCUCAUUUUCGUAUUUUUAGUAGAAACAGGGUUUCUCCAUGUUGAUCAGACUGGUCUCGAUCUCCCAACCUCAGGUGAUCUGCCUGCCUCGGCCUCCCAAAGUGCUGGGAUUACAGGCGUAAGCCACUGUGCCCGGCCCCAACUUUUUUAUUCUAUUGUUUCCUUUCCAUUUUUUUGCUCACCACCUCAUAUUGCUCUGGGUUGAAGGUCUGCCGUGUCUCCAGCCCUGCAUGCCUCAAGCUCAAGCUGCGUCUCAAGGGCUAAAUUUAGAUUUUAAAAAGACCACUCUGUCCUUGGUGUGGAAACAGAGAUGGAGAGGUCAAAGUAGAGGCAGGAAGACCACUUUGACACUGUUUUAAGCAUCCAAGUGAAACAGAGUAACUUUAAUCCACCCUGAAAGCCUAAAGUAAUGAGACAAUUGGGCAGAUAUGGGGGAUAUCAAGUAGACUUGCUUAAAAACUGGUUUUGAAGGGAGGACAAUGUAAUGAUUUUCAUAUUUUCUAUUUGAGACAAUAAAGAGGUAGAAAACAAGGAAGAACAGCAAGAGUGGGCAGAGGGCAGAGAGGGAUGAGUUCAGGUUUGGUUGUUUUGACAGAGGUGCUUUAGGGGGUCAUUUCUAAUGUGGGUUGAAAACAUACAUGGGGAUCCCGGAUCCCACAUGGUAAAUUGAUUUUGUUUUGUUUUUGAGACCAAGUCUUCCUCUGUCGCCCAGGCUGGAGUGCAGUGGUGUGGGAUUUCAGCUCACUGCACCUCUGUCUCCAAGGUUCAAGUGAUUCUCAUGCCUCAGCCUCCCAAGUAGCUGGGACUACAGGCACCCACCACCACACCCGGCUAACUUUUUUGUAUUUUUGAAGAGUUUCAAUGAUUUAAUGGAAGACUUAAAAUAUUAGA